UGCAGCUGCCUUUUCGUCCACACCUACAGGCUGGUUGUAGUUUCAAAGUUAGAGUGUUCAUCCCUGAAGAACCUGACUGAGUUACUCACUACACCCACUCUCAAAGUUGCAGCUCUGCAGGGGACUCUAUGGUGCUGUCUAGGUGCUGCAGGCUCACUUGUACAAUGGAAUGUACUGAGGCCAGGGACUCCAAGCAUGCAAAGGUUAAUGUAGUAGACAAACUGGGGGCAUGCUUGAAAAAAGGGAAGCAUCUGGGUAGACAACACAGAAAAGAAGAUAUUCCAGAUAAAAGAGAUACACAUGCAAACGUGUGUGUGUAGGGCAAGAUUUGUGAAUUAUCUUCAUCUGUUCCACAUACUUAAACACCUAUUGCAUUCCAGGUACUAUAACCCCUGUGUGAAUUUAGUGAAGAACCUCCCUCUGACCCUAAAGGGGACAGUCACAGCUUUUUGACUUGUAUCCCCUACCUGGGACACAUCCUCUAAGUUUUGAUGAGACUCACCCCUUAUUUAAGCCUCAGUUCAAAUCCCAUCUCCUUGAGAAGCCCUCUCUGAUUAGCCCAUCUCAGUCAGCAUCGCCCCAGCAUCUGUCUUUUUAUCUUGCCUUUUUCCCUCCAUAGCACUUACUACCAGGUAUUAAAAUAUAGACGGGUAUUUUUUGUUGUCCUUGCACUAGAAUCUAGCCCCACAAGGGUAGGGACUUAAUUUUAUUCCCACUACAGUUCCAACACUAGAACAGUACCUGGUACACUGCAGGGACUCAAUGCAGGAAAUACUUGUUGAAUGAAUAAAUGAAUAUGUUACAAUAGGUGAUGUACCUCGAUGACGUGGGGAGAGCACAUAGCUCCGUAGUCAAGAGGGUCAAGGAAGAUCACUUGGAGGGAGUAGCAUAUGAGCUAAGGCUUGAGAGAUAAGCAGGAAUUAGCCAAUGGGUUUAAAACUCAAGAAUAAAUUUUUAGCUCUACCAUGGAAAUAUCUUGAUCCGAAAGACCAAUAAGGAAAAUGGCCCAGGGAGGACCAACAAUGGCCUGAAGGUUAAGUGGCUGUGUCUCCACUGUUGCUAACCAGGGGUGGAGUAAACAAUGGCACAGCCACAGAAGCUGGCAAAGGACUGUUGAGGCCUCUACUGCAAAUGGAAAACCACUCCAGGAGCAGCUCUGCAUGUCCCAUACUGGGUUUUUUGUCAGUAUCUUUUGGUACUGACAAUUUAAAUGACCACUUACGUUUUCCAAGUUUGAGCCAAUUGUUCUUUCACCUGAAGCUUUACUCCCAGAAAGUAAGUUAUAGGUUGGUUGUUUUCCAAGGAAGCCUGAGACAAGGAAAAAGUAACAUGUCAAAGGUGAGGGCCCUGUCUUUAAAUCCAUGGGGAGCUGUUCCCGGCUUUCCUUUGGAACUGUUCUUUGGUAGUGAAGGACUUUUCAAGCACAGGACUCAUUUCAAGCAUGUCAUCCAUUCUAUUUCAAUGUCAGCAUUUUAUCUUGACUUGGAGACAGAAGUGAGAACUAAAGGAGCUGAAUCUAUUAUAACGUUUGCACUUUUUUUUUUUUCUAUAAAGGAGGGAUGAUGAUCCAGUGGAAAGGCCCAGUAAUGUCUUUAUUGCUUCUGCUGUAGGCUUAGUAUGUAAUCUGCAAAGGUAAGGUAAACUGAAAGGGCACAGAACAUCAUCUGCACCGAGAUGCCAUUGGCCUAGUCACAGUUCUGAGUUUACAAUGCAGAAGAAACACUAUUACCAUCUUUUAAAAAGUUUUUUUGCACUGCCUUUUUCCUUUGGUCAUUCACCACCAGCUUAUUCAUUUUUUUUGCAUGUGAAACACAACAUGUUUUACUAGUGGCCACAAUGUGUAUACUUUUUUUAAAUUGUUAUUUUCAUGACAUAGCAAAUUGUUUCUAUGGAAUCCUUAUAAAGGUCAUUUAAAAUGACAUGUGCAGUAAGUCAGUCUUCUUGUGCUAGGAAAUUAAAAAAUAUAUAUAUAGAGAAAAAUACAAAAAUCACUGAACCUGAACACCUAUAGGGAAGUUUUGUUAGCAGUUGGUCUAUUUUCUUUCAGUCACACAGAGAUCAUAUCUAACGGGUAAAGAACAUUCCAUACUGUCAACAGACCAUACUGUCUUCUAAAAUCGCUUCAGCAGUGAGGAUCCUCUCCAAUAGAUCUUGUUAGUCCUGAGGAAUUAUUCUCCCAGUGGUGAGUUGUGAGAAGUGGAAUCACCAAAUGAAUUUCUGACAGAACUGACCCCUUCUUGUGUGGCUGGGAUGCUGACCUGGGUGUUAGGCCGGUCGCGCCGGAACCCAGCACCCAUGCUGAGUCUUUCUGAGCUCCACUCUUCUCCUGUAAGAGAUUAAUAACUGAGGUAGCUGUCCAGAUCCAAGGCGGUAGUGAUUUUAUGUGUCUGCGUAUUUAUCACGGAGUUCGCGGCGGGAACGCGGGGACUGUCCCACGUCCCCAGACCUCUAGUAGGGUGCGGCGCGAUAAGCAUCUUCCAUAAACCUUAACCUCCCUGUCGCUCAGUCACUGGUUCUUAUUUCAGCCCUCUUAGCCACGUAGGUCGGCGGGUUAAAAACCUUUCUGGUACCUGGAGGCCUUUCCUAAGAAAACGCACAUCUCUUGCACAUUUAAGUCUCCGUCUGGUCUGCAACUUGAGAUGCGUCAGGACCCGAGGUUCAUCCGAGCUGCCGCUCCGUUCCCGAGCCGGGGACUUGCCAGAACACUGGCCUCACCUCCCGGCGCGGCGGGCGGCCUCGGGAGACGGCCUCGGGAGGAGUGGGAUUCCGGGUGCCCCGCGCAAGCCAAGGACUGCCAGACUCGGGAGGCCCUGCCCACCGCGCUGCGGCCUCCGGGCCACCGCCACCCCGCGCAUCGCCAGCUGCGGCAGGACCCAGCGGGGCCCAAAGCCUCACGCCCCCGGACCGCCCCUGGCCGCAGCUUGUUUACUCCCCGACGCAGGCUAGUGCGACCCUGGGGCCCGCCCCAGCCCGCCGCCUAUUGGCCGAGGAUGCGCGAAGGCAGGCAACGAUUGGUCCGGGGAGAAGCGGGGCGAGCGGGGUAGGCUGCGCUAGAGGCCGAGAGGGGGCGGCAGGCGAUGGCGGCUGCGGCAGCGGCGGCAGGUCGGUUAGGCUGGUUGUUCGCCGCGCUUUGCCUGGGCAACGCCGCGGGGGAGGCCGCGCCGGGCCCGCGAGUGCUGGGCUUCUGUCUGGAGGAGGACGGAGCGGCGGGCGCGGGGUGGGUACGCGGAGGAGUGGCGCGGGACACGCCGGACGCCACCUUCCUCCUGCGCCUCUUCGGCCCGGGCUUUGCCAACAGCUCCUGGUCCUGGGUGACCCCCAAGGGGGCGGGCUGCCCGGAGGAGGCGGCGGCCCCCGCGGGCGAGUGGCUCGCGCUGCUGCGCCUGCGCCUGCGGGCAGAGGCGGUGCGCCCGCACUCCGCGCUACUGGCGGUGCGCGUGGAGCCGGGCGGCGGGGUGGCUGAGGAAGCGGCGCCGCCCUGGGCUCUGGGCCUGGGGGCGGCCGGGCUGCUGGCGUUGGCGGCGCUGGCGCGGGGCCUGCAGCUGAGCGCGCUGGCGCUGGCGCCGGCCGAGGUGCAGGUGCUGCGCGAGAGCGGCUCGGAGGCAGAGCGUGCGGCGGCGCGGCGCUUGGAGCCCGUGAGGCGCUGGGCUGGCUGCGUCUUGGGCGCGCUGCUGCUGCUGGCCAGCCUGGCGCAGGCGGCGCUGGCGGUGCUGCUGUACCGCGCGGCCGGCCAGCGUGCGGUGCCCGCCGUGCUGGGCAGCGCGGGGCUCGUGUUCCUGGUGGGCGAGGUGGUGCCGGCCGCCGUGAGCGGACGCUGGGCGCUAGCGCUGGCGCCGCGCGCGCUUGGCCUCAGCCGCCUGGCGGUGCUGCUCACCCUUCCCGUGGCGCUGCCCGUUGGGCAGCUGCUAGAGCUGGCGGCGCGGCCCGGGCGGCUGCGGGAGCGGGUGCUGGAGCUGGCGCGCGGCGGAGGCGACCCCUACAGCGAUCUCAGCAAGGGAGUGCUGCGCUGCCGGACCGUGGAGGACGUGCUCACACCCCUCGAAGACUGCUUCAUGCUGGACGCCAGCACCGUGCUGGAUUUCGGCGUCCUGGCCAGCAUCAUGCAGAGCGGCCACACGCGCAUCCCUGUGUACGAGGAGGAGCGCUCCAACAUCGUGGACAUGCUCUACCUCAAGGACUUGGCCUUCGUGGAUCCCGAAGACUGUACACCGCUCAGCACGAUAACUCGCUUCUACAACCAUCCCCUCCACUUCGUCUUCAACGACACCAAGCUGGACGCUGUCCUGGAGGAGUUCAAGCGAGGGAAGUCCCACCUGGCCAUCGUGCAGAAGGUGAACAACGAGGGUGAGGGCGACCCCUUCUACGAGGUCCUGGGCCUAGUCACCCUGGAGGAUGUGAUCGAGGAGAUCAUCAGAUCUGAGAUCCUGGACGAGUCCGAAGACUACCGAGACACCGUGGUAAGGAGGAAGCCUGCUUCUCUGAUGGCCCCUCUCAAGCGGAAGGAGGAGUUCUCCUUGUUCAAGGUGUCUGAUGAUGAAUAUAAAGUAAAAAUCUCACCUCAGCUGCUCUUGGCCACCCAGCGCUUCCUGUCCCGAGAAGUGGAUGUAUUCAGCCCACUGCGCAUCUCUGAGAAGGUCUUGCUGCACCUGCUGAAGCAUCCCAGCGUCAACCAGGAAGUGAGGUUUGACGACAGCAACCGCUUGGCCACACACCACUACCUGUACCAGCGUAGCCAACCGGUGGAUUACUUCAUUCUUAUCCUACAGGGCAGGGUUGAAGUGGAGAUCGGGAAAGAGGGCCUGAAGUUUGAGAAUGGGGCCUUCACGUACUAUGGAGUGUCGGCCCUGACCGUGCCAUCCUCGGUUCACCAGUCCCCGGUGUCCUCGCUCCAGCCCAUCCGCCAUGACCUGCAGCCUGAGCCAGACGGCAUGCGUUCAUCUACAUAUUGUCCCGACUACACCGUCAGGGCGCUCUCUGACCUGCAGCUCAUCAAGGUUACGCGGCUGCAGUACCUCAAUGCACUCCUGGCUACCCGAGCCCAGAACCUGCCACAAUCCCCCGAGAACACUGACCUGCAGGUCAUCCCAGGCAGCCAGACCAGGCUCCUCGGUGAGAAGACAGCCAUAGCGGCAGCCUUCCCAGUAGACCUUUCCCUCUUUGGCACAGUUGGAAACUGCAGUUGAUAAAUGACUGUGGACUAGUGCGCAUUUUUUGUUUUCAGAGCACACCCAAGGGUCCAGCCACAGCAGGCCUGGCAUCCCGGUGGAAGGCAGCCCUGGGCGGAACCCAGGUGUUUAACUGCUUGCUAGGCAGCCCCAGAUCUGGGGAACAGACGAGCACAUGGGGAGCUGGAGUGAGCCAAGCAGAAGCUUCAUGCCUGCCUGCCCCCAUCCCCUCCAGGCCACGUUUUAGAUGGCCCUUGUAGAUGUGGGUCCUGGACGUCCUCAGAACUUGACAUCAAUGCCUGGAUCCUUCAGCCGGCCCUGCCCUCCUUUAGAAGAUGGGGGUCACCAGGGCACAGCUUUCCAGCCCUGCAUCAGGAAGGAACGAAGGGAGCACCAUCUGUUGUCCCCAGGGCCCUGGCUUCCCCGUCUCCCCAGAGGCUGGGACAGUGCAGCAUAUUCAGACCUCUUUGGGCCAAGCCACCUUGUGAGUGCAGUUACUGCCUUAUGUGGCCAAGACCUGUACUCGCUUUGCUUUUAAUUUGCCAGCCUACCACUGCUGCCAGCACUUUUUGAGCAAACCGAGAGCACCCAUUUGGUGUUGGGGGUUCAAAACCAUGACCUUGUCCAUGGUGUCCUUUCCAGCUUCCCUGAUGGUGCCACAUUUCAGAGCAUGCGCACCAGCCUUUCCCAUGUGCCAAACCAGAAGCUCUGCUACCUGUAGUCUGUCCCUGUAGCCCUUCUCCCUCCCUGGAGGCUGCUCUUCUGACCCUGAGAGCUGGCCUAGUGGUGCCAAGGUUCCCUUUCUGCUUCUCUGCCCGCCUGCUGAGUUGCCACUCACAGCAUUGUCAGUUCCUGUGUUCUGAGAAGAGGUCACGCCUGGAAGGAAGGGAUCAUCAUGCUGCAUUGAAUCCUCCCCCACUGUGUGGCCUCGGGGAGAGUGGCCGCCUGUUGCACCUACUGCACGCCUCCCCACAGCCUCCCUGCAGGUGCUGUAUGGCUGUGAUGUGCAGAGAGCAUCGAGGGAGGGUUUAUGAACCAGGUAGAUCCUCAUGACCUUUCUUUAAAAAAAAAAAAAUCAGUUUUUGUUAUAUCUCUAGAACAUUCCGAGUCUUUUCCUUUUUUUCUGUUCCUGGCUGUGGGGUUUUAGAGAAGUGGGAAUAGGAAGGCAUUUGUCUUUUUUUUCUAAUUUACUAUAUUUUUUUCCAUAGUUCUUGAGCUGUGUGGAAACCGGGGCAUUACAAGGACAUAGGAUCAUAGAUUGGGGGUAGGGAGGGAGAAGGAUUUGUGGAACCUUUCUCAAAGGAAUUUGGACCCUUACAAAUGGGACUGAAGGCCAAAAGAACAGGGGUAUGCUUGCUUAGAAAUUGUCCUCAAGGAAUCAACUCUUAACAGCAAGCCCAGGUGGGAAACAGAUGCUUUAAAGUCCUCUCCAGAACAGUGGGUUUGUUGUUGUUGUUGUUUGAGAUGGAGUCUCACUGUGUCGCGCAGGCUGGAGUGCAGUGAUGUGAUCUCAGCUCACUGCAACCUCCACCUCCCAGGUUCAAGCGGUUCUCUUGCCUCAGCCCCUGAUCACUAGCUGGGAUUACAGGCACCUGUGCCAUGGCGCCUGGCUAAUUUUUGUAUUUUUAGUAGAGAUGGGGUUUCACCAUGUUGGCCAGGCUGGUCUUGAAUUCCUUACUUCAGGUGAUGCACCCGCUUUGGCCUCCCAAAGUGCUGGGAUUGCGGGCAUGAGCUAAGAACAGUGGUUCUUAACCUUGGCUGCAAAUCAGAAUCACCUGGCAAAUUAAAAAUACGUGGACCUGCCACCAGGGCUUGUGAUUUAAUCAAUCUGGGCAUCAGCAUUUUUAGUUGUUUUUUUUUUUUUAUGUAGAGACAGAUUUCAUCAUGUUGACCAGGCUAGUCUUGAACUCCUGACCUCAGGUGAUCCACCUGCCUUGGCCUCCCAAAGUGCUAGGAUUACAAGCGUGAGCCACUGUGCCCAGCCUUUUUUUUCCCUUUUUUUAAAGACAAGAUCUCACUCUGUUGUUGCCCAGACUGAGUGCAGUGGUGUGAUCACGGCUUGCUGCAGCCUCCACCUCUCUGGUUCAGGCCAUCCUGUCACCUCAACCUCCUGAAUAGCUGGGACUAUGGGUAUGUACCACCACACCCAGCCAAUUCUUUUAAUUUUUUGUAGAGAUUGGGUCUCAUUAUGUUGCCUGGGCUAGUCUCAAAUCCUGCGCUCAAGUGAUCCUCCCAUAGUGUUGAGAUUAUAGGCGCGAGUCACCAUGCCUGGCCUUGAGAUAUUUUUAGAUUCACAGAAAAGUUGCAUAGACCUUUCACCCAGCUUCCCCUAAUGUUAACAUCUUACAUAUAACCUUGGUACAUUUAUCAAAACUAAAAAAAUUAACAUUGGUGCAAUUAUACUAUUAAAAUAGUACAGAGUUUAUUUGGAUUUUACCAGUUUUCCCAAUAAUGUCCUUUUUCUGCUGCAGCAGCCCAUCCAGGACGCCAUGCUCACUUAAAGCUAUUGCUUUCUUUUUUUUCUAACUUAAUAUUUUGAAAUAAUUUCAGAUUAUCGGAAGUUGUAAAGAUAAUGGUCCCACACACCCUUCCUCCAGUUUCCCUCCAUGGUUACAUCUUACAUGAUUGUAAUGCAGUAUUCCAACCAAGACUUUGACUGGUGCAGUGUGGGUGGACAGUCCAAAUCAUUUGUCACAUGUACAUUUGUGUAACUACCACUGCAAUCAAGAUAAAGAAGUGCCAUCCCCGCAAGGAUCUCCCUCCCCACCCUCCCUAACCCCUGGCAAACACCAUCCUUCAUCUCUUACUUUGUCAUUUCAAGAAUGUUGCAUAAAUGGAAGCAUAGUGUGUAAGCAUUCGGGAUGGUCUUUUUUCACUCUGUAAUUCUCGGGAGACCACCCAGGGGUUGCAUGUGUCAAUGGUGUGUUCCUUUUUAUUGCUGAGUGGUAUUCUGUGGUGUAUGCACUGGCCCCCUGAAGGACACCUGGGAUGUUUCCAAUUUUGGGCUAUUCCAAAUAAAGCUGCUACAAAUAUUCAUGUA